CGUAGNUAAUACCGCAUACGCCCUACGGGGGAAAGCAGGGGAUCGCAAGACCUUGCACUAUUAGAGCGGCCGAUAUCGGAUUAGCUAGUUGGUGGGGUAAYGGCUCACCAAGGCGACGAUCCGUAGCUGGUUUGAGAGGACGACCAGCCACACUGGGACUGAGACACGGCCCAGACUCCUACGGGAGGCAGCAGUGGGGAAUUUUGGACAAUGGGGGAAACCCU
rnacentral:rRNA from 1 species